GCAUGGAUGAAUACUGUGUUCUCUUUGUCAGUAGUCAACACAGCCAGACACCAUGCAAAAGCACAUUCUUCUCCUUUGAAAUGGUCUUAAUGGGAUGCUAAGGGUUGUUGGCAUGCCAUUACUAAAGGGGAAUCACAGAC